AGAGCACCUUUGCUGUUUCUCUCUCAUUCCCUUUCUGUAAAAUAUCCAGACAGGAAGGAGGUGGCCGCAGAGGCUGAACAAACAUCUCAUAUUCUGCCUGCAAUGCCAUCGUUUCUUUCCCCCAUUUUAGGGGGGUGAAGUCAACCAGGAAGGGAUGCAGAGGAACUGGAGAGGAAGGGGGAGCUCUCCAGAGGCUGCUGCAGCCAGGGGCAGGGACUGCCACCAGAUGUGCCUGCCUUUCUGGAUUUUGAUGCGAAAGGGAUAGCAGGAGGAAAUAUUGGGAGACAAAAGCCUCGGUUUAAAUGAUCAUUUUCUUUAUUUAACAUGGCAGCAGACACUCUGCGUAGGAUCAUCAUGCCGAGCACAAACUGGACUUUUCUACUUCCCAGCAGGAGUCAGGCAGGUCCCUGCUUGCUAAAUGAGCAUUGAAGAGAGGCAGACUGCUGCACUCCAGAGACAGUAGAACUUUUUCUAGUUGUUACGUAAAUUAAUGUGACAAUCUACGUGACAGCUGACGACACCUUAUUUUUGAAAAAUGUGGAUCCAUUUACCUCCAUCCCUUGUGAUCAUCAGCAGUGAAAAUCCCCAUGUGGGAUUCUGGAGCUCAUCUUCUAAAGACACUAGAUGAGAAGGACCAUCAUUUCCUUCAGUACUGUGUUGGAACAGGAGCCAUGCAGUUGCCUCCUUUCUUCUCUAGGUC